rnacentral:misc_RNA from 1 species
GAAAUAGCAUGUCAACAAUGGUUUCACAAAGUGGGAAUACUCCUCAUGUCUCUUCUAUUUCUACACUGCCAAUUCACUUGCAGGACUUUAAGGCAGAGUUACAGUGCCAAAUAGCUUCAAUUAGAAAUAAUGCUAGACAAAUGAUUAACAAUGCCCCACAAGGGUGGGAUGACCAGAGGCGAGAUGCUUCUUGCCACUCAAAUGCUGUAUGUAGUUCAAUAAAUGCUGCAAUUCCUAUUCCUGGGAGUCCACUGGGUCAGAGUUUGGACCCAAAUAAUGUCAUUUUUCAUAGAACCAAGCACUUCAAUUCAGCAAGACAAUCAAAUCUUGUUGAUCCAUCUCUGAUGAAGCAUAACGAGUUUGCAAAUUUGGCCAUGGAAUCACUAAUGAGGUCCAAUGAAGGAUAUGUGAUAGGCCAACAGAAGCCACAGGGCAGUUAUGUUUCUAAUAAUUUUGGCUCCUUGGAAGAUUUAGCAAGUGAAAUGGUGAAACAGGAAGAUAAGGUGACAGCAGCAGGAGAAUUUGGGCAUGGUGCUUAUUCUCAUAGGACGUGCAUGUAAAGCAGAAUUUAGCUGCCGAAAUCCCCAACAGAGAAGGAUAUACCAUAGAAUCGAUCAUGUUUUUUCCCCCAUGUAAUUUAUACCUCAUUGGUCUAUGAUUUCCACUUGUACGUUUCCUCUAGACA